rnacentral:lncRNA from 1 species
CCCUUUCCUCUCUGCUACUGUUAAAGCUCUGUCUUUCCCCAUUUUCUUGACUUUUUUUUUGGGGUAAGAAUCAAAUAUAAAAUCUGGGUUUUUUUGUAUUAAGUUUGCUCUCAAAUUUAAAAGAAACCAACAAAAAAACCUUCCAAUUUUCCAUUUCACCCAUCUCAAAUCUUCAAUUUUUCUUUGCCUUUUGGUGAUCAC